UGGGGAAUUUUGGACAAUGGGCGCAAGCCUGAUCCAGCCAUGCCGCGUGCGGGAAGAAGGCCUUCGGGUUGUAAACCGCUUUUGUCAGGGAAGAAACGCUCUGGGCUAAUACCCUGGGGUAAUGACGGUACCUGAAGAAUAAGCACCGGCUAACUACGUGCCAGCAGCCGCGGUAAUACGUAGGGUGCGAGCGUUAAUCGGAAUUACUGGGCGUAAAGCGUGCGCAGGCGGCUUUGCAAGACAGAUGUGAAAUCCCCGGGCUCAACCUGGGAACUGCACUUGUGACUGCAUAGCUGGAGUACGGCAGAGGGGGAUGGAAUUCCGCGUGUAGCAGUGAAAUGCGUAGAUAUGCGGAGGAACACCGAUGGCGAAGGCAGUCCCCUGGGCCUGUACUGACGCUCAUGCACGAAAGCGUGGGGAGCAAACAGGAUUAGAUACCCGGGUAGUCCCUGAGCGGGCUGGCAAGGCGCAU
rnacentral:rRNA from 1 species